GACGAACGCUGGCGGCGUGCUUAACACAUGCAAGUCGAACGGAAAGGCCCUGCUUGCAGGGUGCUCGAGUGGCGAACGGGUGAGUAACACGUGGGUGAACUGCCCCUUACUUUGGGAUAAGCCUGGGAAACUGGGUCUAAUACUGGAUAGGACCAUGCUGUAGGGGGUGUGGUGGAAAGAUUAGUUUCGGUAAGGGAUGAGCUCGCGGCCUAUCAGCUUGUUGGUGGGGUACUGGCCUACCAAGGCGUCGACGGGUAGCCGGCCUGAGAGGGUGGACGGCCAGGUUGAGACUGAGAUGGGGCCCAGCAGCCUACGAGAGGCAGCAGUGGGGAAUAUUGCACAAUAGGCGCAAGCCUGAUGCGGCGACGCCGCGUGGGGGAUGACGGCCUUCGGGUUGUAAACUCCUUUCGGCCAUGACGAAGCCCUUGUGGUGACGGUAGUGGUAGAAGAAGCACCGGCUAACUACGUG
rnacentral:rRNA from 1 species